ACCUGUGACAUAGUGGUUUGAGUGUUGGACUGUGACUCUAGAGACCAGGGUUUGAUUCCCUUCUCACGUA